GUGAGCGUAGCUCAGCGGCAGAGCGCUGGACUGUGGCUCCAGUGGUCAUGGGUUCAAAUCCCAUCGCUCACC
rnacentral:tRNA from 1 species